UCAAACUUGGGAUGUGGUAAUCUGUUUUUUGUCAGGUUUACCAUUUCCGAGCCAAAUUUGUGGUCCUGUUCGGAUUCCUGAUCGAACACAAGCACAGUUUUGCCAGGCAGAUUCGCCGGCAAGUAAAAUACAAAAGUUCUCAUAAAAUAGCAAAACAACCGGCGUUUCUGCUCUUUGUUGCUCGUCAGACGUAGAAAAACCGUAACGUUAUGAUUCAGCAUCUUCGUGGUGGUAGCUAUAGGGGUUUGAUUCAGUGGAAGCAUACCGCCAAAAACCGAAAGCUCUUUAGUGAAAGUGUAGGCAUUAUCUUGGCUCGAUAGAAAUAUUAGUAUAUACAGUGAUGAUGUCCCUGCACAAAUGAUUAUAAAGCUUUUGAUAGUGAGAAUCCACAUGCUUGAUUUACAUGUGAUAUUCUUCAACGUAUUUCUGUCCGUUUUCAAUGCGACUUAGAAAGCCAGUGCGCACGCGCGCAACGUCGAAUUUUAAAAUGUCUUAAUUUUUUUCUCGAUACCUAGACCGGUUCAACUCCAAAUGAUGCAUAACGUUGCAAAUCAAUGUUUAGAAGUCGGAUGGGCCCUCUAUUUCUGAUACCCCUCUGUCGUCCUAUUCAUAUUGUCGCGUUCCUCUUAUGUUAUUAGUAGUAUAGUACUUGGCGGCUCCAGCGCAUCCCGUGGGAAUGCGCUCGAACCAAGCCAAGUCUAUACUACUCACCAGCGUAUGGUUUCAUAUUUUGGUAUGAUAUAAGGUAUAUUUUGGUGUGACUAUAUGUUAUCAUAUUUUGGUAUGACUAUAAGGUAUAUUUUGGUGUGAUCAUAUGAAAAAAGAUUUUGAUGAAACUAUAUGUUAUAAUUUUUUGGUGAAACUAUAUGUUAUAGAUUUUUGGUGAAACUAUAUGUUAUAGAUUUUUGGUGAAACUAUAUGUUAUGGAUUUUUGGUGAAACUAUAUAAUUUUUAGUGUCAGCUUAUGAAUAAAUUACUGGAGUCGCAGCACGACGUCAUUUAUCGGGGUUCGGUGUGGGAUGACAACACUAUAUGGUAUCAUAUUGUGGUGAGACUAUAUGAUACAAGUUUUUGGUGUCAGCUUAUGAAUAAACUGGAACUAUAUGCUUUCUUCAUUUCGUGGAAUUCGUGCGGUGUGUGCUGGUUUCAUUUUAUGAUACAAUCCUAUGGUUACGGCUGCUGCGUGACAUUCCUGGAGUUUUAAUUCUUAGGAGCGAGUCAGGGGAUUCCCCGCUGGCGAGUCUGGGCAUGCCUAUUGCAUUUAAGGACUUUUUCGCUGACAAAGUGGAAUGUUCUAGACGUGCUGUGUCAUGACUCCACGUAAAAAUAUAGUCUCUUGUAUUAGCAUAUAGAAUGGUUUGUGAUAAAGGGAUCCAUAUGGCAUUAGUGGAAGAGGGAUAUUACGAUUUUCCAUUUUGUGAUCUAAGGAUAGCGGAGUACGUGACUAAGGGAGAUUCGGCAAGGUUCGAGACAUUUUGUGGUAGGCAGGAUAUGGUAAAUGACAAUGGAGCUAAUGUAUGAAAAAAUUGUUGUGUUCACCAUGGAUACGACUAUGCCGUCGAGUGGUUUGAUUUUUACGAGAAUAUGUACAGGAUACGUAGAAAGUCAUUGUACCAUCGGAAGUAUUAUUUAGAAAAUGUGUUGUUUGAUUUUGACUUAGAAGGGAAUAAGCAUGACCUACUCAGGAGGUUCGAGCAAGUUGAGACGGGUAUGAAUAAAUUAUUUACUAGAAAACGAUAUAUUCAGAUGAAGUUCGUUCUCUACAAAUUGUUUCAAUUGAAAUAUGAGAAGCAGAGUAUGAGACAAUGCAUAAAAUAUAUCAGUCCUAGGACACAGAGAUAUUAUAAGAAGUUGUGGAAGCAGGUUUGUGAUCAUCUAGGAUGGACGUACAUUCAUGGUAGUGAGUUUAUAACUAGACGUGUGGAGACGGUGAUCACCAUCUUUCUCUAGAGAUAUGUAUAUGCUUCUGGUAUAUGCUUAGGGUCUUAUUAUAAUAGAACCUUAUGCUAACGUUUUGUUUAGUUUGUCUCUCAUUUCUAGCAUUUCUAUCUGUUCUUGGAUAUGGUCCUUGCUUUUUUUCCCUCUCAACUGAGGUGAGUGUUUAUAUACCUUUUCCCGUAUCGACUCUCUCAUUUCAUUAUAUUUUUCAGCCUCUUUGAUAAUGAGAUUGAAUUCGUCUGAGGAUAUUUGGUUGUCGGUCAAUGCUUUGCUAAUAAGGCUGCACAAUACAGUUAAGGCUGAAUGUUCCCUUAAAAGUAAACUCCCUGUGGUUGAUUUAUUAUCGUCUCACAAAGAGCCCAUCAAAGCGCCACCAGUUUAUCAAGUUUCUCAAUACCAAAGAUGUGACAUAAACGGUACUGGGACAAAGGGGUGUGGAGUCAAGUCAGAGAAAGAACCCUGUUUGGGUUCUACUCACCGAACUAUUGGACCAAUUUGUUGACGUGGCAGCCGAGUCAGUCCUACAAUGGGAGGAUUGUGAGGGUGCCAAUUCGCUGCAAUGGAACAAACGACAAGACCCUAGCAAGUUGUAUUGUUUUAUAGAUUAAAGGAACUCUAUCAUGUAAAAUUUUUUCCAGUUAUAAAAAUACCCUAGUAGAAACACAAAUGCCUAACCCCAUUAUAUUUUUUGUGUUCAUUUACUCUGCAUUUGUUUUUGUUACAGAUGACAUAUUCUUAUCAACAACAGUAGCACCUACCACUACUGAGACACCAAAAACCACUAAAGCACCCAAAACACCUAUAACAAUACCCAAAACUAGUACUAAUAGACCACAAACAUCAACCAUAACUGCCAAAAUUACAACAGAAUCAACCACUGCAACUCAAGCAACCACAAAAA